rnacentral:rRNA from 1 species
CUACGGGUCGCUCCAGUGAGGAAUAUUGCACAAUGGGGGGAACCCUGAUGCAGCAACGCCGCGUGGAGGAUGACGCAUUUCGGUGUGUAAACUCCUUUUAUAUGUCAAGAAAAUGACGGUAGCAUAUGAAUAAGCACCGGCUAACUCCGUGCCAGCAGCCGCGGUAAUACGGAGGGUGCAAGCGUUACUCGGAAUCACUGGGCGUAAAGGACGCGUAGGCGGGUUGGAAAGUCAGGUGUGAAAUCCUACAGCUUAACUGUAGAACUGCACUUGAAACUUCUAAUCUAGAGUAUGGGAGGGGGAGAUGGAAUUAGUGGUGUAGGGGUAAAAUCCGUAGAUAUCACUAGGAAAACCUAAAGCGAAAGCGAUCUCCUGGAACAUUACUGACGCUAAGGCGUGAAAGCGUGGGGAGCAAACAGGAUUAGAUACCCGAGUAGUC